GGUGAACGCUGGCGGCGUGCUUGAGACAUGCAAGUCGAACGGCAGUCUUCGGACUGUAGUGGCGCACGGGUGAGUAACGCGUAACUGACCUACCCCAAAGUCGCGGAUAACGAUUCGAAAGAAUCGCUAAUACGUGAUGUGCUGUCAGAUUGUGUUCUGCCAGUAAAGAUUGAUUGCUUUGGGAUGGGGUUGCGUUCCAUCAGCUAGUUGGUGGGGUAAAGGCCCACCAAGGCGACGACGGAUAGCCGGCCUGAGAGGGUGGCCGGCCACAGGGGCACGGAGACACGGGUCCCACUCCUACGGGAGGCAGCAGUUAGGAAUCUUCCACAAUGGGCGAAAGCCUGAUGGAGCGACGCCGCGUGAGGGAUGAAGGUCUUCGGAUCGUAAACCUCUGAAUCAGGGACGAAAGACACUUCGGUGGGAUGACGGUACCUGAGUAAUAGCACCGGCUAACUCCGUGCCAGCAGCCGCAGUAACAC
rnacentral:rRNA from 1 species